rnacentral:rRNA from 1 species
UGAACGCUAGCGGCAGGCCUAACACAUGCAAGUCGAACGGUAACAGUCUCUUCGGAGAGCUGACGAGUGGCGCACGGGUGCGUAACGCGUAUGCAACCUACCUCUAACUGGAGAAUAGCCCGGGGAAACCCGGAUUAAUACUCCAUAAUACCAAGAUUUCUCAUGAUUUCUUGAUUAAAGCUUUGGCGGUUAGAGAUGGGCAUGCGUCCUAUUAGUUAGUUGGCGAGGUAACGGCUCACCAAGACAGCGAUAGGUAGGGGGUCUGAGAGGAUGAUCCCCCACACUGGUACUGAGACACGGACCAGACUCCUACGGGAGGCAGCAGUGAGGAAUAUUGGGCAAUGGACGAAAGUCUGACCCAGCCAUGCCGCGUGCAGGAUGACGGCCCUAUGGGUUGUAAACUGCUUUUAUAUGGGAAGAAACCCCUCUACGUGUAGGGGGCUGACGGUACCAUACGAAUAAGCAUCGGCUAACUCC